GACGAACGCUGGCGGCGUGCUUAACACAUGCAAGUCGAACGGAAAGGCCCUGCUUUUGUGGGGUGCUCGAGUGGCGAACGUGUGAGUAACACGUGAGUAACCUGCCCUUGACUUUGGGAUAACUUCAGGAAACUGGGGCUAAUACCGGAUAGGAGCUCCUGCUGCAUGGGGGGGGUUGGAAAGUUUCGGCGGUUGGGGAUGGACUCGCGGCUUAUCAGCUUGUUGGUGGGGUAGUUGCUUACCAAGGCUUUGACGGGUAGCCGGCCUGAGAGGGUGACCGGCCACAUUGGGACUGAGAUACGGACCAGACUCCUACGGGAGGCAGCAGUGGGGAAUAUUGCACAAUGGGCGGAAGCCUGAUGAAGCAACGCCGCGUGCGGGAUGACGGCCUUCGGGUUGUAAACCGCUUUAGCCUGUGACGAAGCGUGAGUGACGGUAAUGGGUAAAGAAGCACCGGCUAACUACGUG
rnacentral:rRNA from 1 species